rnacentral:rRNA from 1 species
CCUACGGGAGGCAGCAGUAAGGAGUAUUGGUCAAUGGAGGCAACUCUGAACCAGCCAUGCCGCGUGCAGGAAGACAGCCCUCUGGGUCGUAAACUGCUUUUAUUCGGGAAUAAACCUAUCUACGUGUAGAUAGCUGAAUGUACCGAAGGAAUAAGGAUCGGCUAACUCCGUGCCAGCAGCCGCGGUAAUACGGAGGAUCCAAGCGUUAUCCGGAUUUAUUGGGUUUAAAGGGUGCGUAGGCGGCCUGUUAAGUCAGGGGUGAAAGACGGUAGCUCAACUAUCGCAGUGCCCUUGAUACUGAUGGGCUUGAAUACACUAGAGGUAGGCGGAAGUGUGACAAGUAGCGGUGAAAUGCAUAGAUAUGUCACAGAACACCGAUUGCGAAGGCAGCUUACUAUGGUGUCAUUGACGCUGAGGCACGAAAGCGUGGGGAUCAAACAGGAUUAGAUACCCUGGUAGUCCACGCCCUAAACGAUGAAUACUCGCUGUUGGCGAUAUACAGUCAGCGGCUAAGCGAAAGCGUUAAGUAUUCCACCUGGGGAGUACGCUCGCAAGAGUGAAACUCAAAUGAAUUGACGGG